rnacentral:rRNA from 1 species
UACGUAGGGGGCAAGCGUUGUCCGGAUUUAUUGGGCGUAAAGAGCGUGUAGGCGGCCUGAAAGGUCAGCUGUGAAAACUCGAGGCUCAACCUCGAGACGUCGGUUGAAACCAUCUGGCUAGAGUCCGGAAGAGGAGUGUGGAAUUCCCGGUGUAGCGGUGAAAUGCGCAGAUAUCGGGAAGAACACCCGUGGCGAAGGCGGCACUCUGGGGCGGUACUGACGCUGAGACGCGAAAGCGUGGGGAGCAAACAGG